CAGUUUGGCAGUCUGCAAUAGCCAGUGUUUUGACUCAGCUAUAUUUUGUUAGAAUUUAUAUGGCUCCUUAACACAGAUUUUAGAGCCAACACCUGCCCUGAGGUCUUGCUUAGCCUUAGAUCAAAGCAACUGGCCUUCAUCCACUGCUGUUUUCUCAGCUGCUAGACGUUUCUGUAGCUGCCCCAGGAAAGGGGGCAUGGGUGUCAGUACGGUGGUGUAUAAAUUAUGCAUUCCUUUAUUCUGCAAGUAUCCCACAGUUGCAGAAAUCAGUUUGUAAAGAGGAAACGGUUAUGUGAAUUGGCCUUUGAUCACUCUGCUUUAUAAGUGUUUGUAUGGUAGAUUCAUAAAGGAUGUUUGGGGAUACCAUCGAGUAAAUCAUUUGGCAGUGUGUACAGAGAAAAAAGUUGGCUUCCUCUUUAGAAGCAGGAAACUCCCCACUCCAGUUAAUCAAAGCUGCUGACCAGUGUCCAGAUAGGAACAGCACAGCUGCUUAUAGCGUUCCUCUGGCAAGCCAUCAGUCAUCUACCACAAAUAUCUUUGCACAGCAAUCUAGCUGGCUCUCCAGGAUAAAUAAGCCUUGAAAGCAAAAAUAUCAGUCCACCUUUUUUGGUCAGUUUUCUGAAACUGUAUUUAGAGAAUCUGACAGUGUUUACAUUGCUUAAAAUAAACCUUUUAAACAUUAAAAGCCUAGAGUUAAGAUUUAGAGGCUAAACUUUAAUGGCUAGCUGAACUUCACCUGGGAUCUUUCCUUUGUCCUACUUCAUUGAUGUUUUUGAGAACAGCCUGCAGCUGCUGAUUGUGUGAGGAACUGGAGGCAUAUCUUCUCUUUGGAAUGUUCACAGGACAUUGCCUCUUUUUUGUUUUGCAUACUUAUAUCUGAGCAGAGCUUGUGUUAGGACUAGAGGCUGCUGUGUGGCCUUUUUGCAAUGAGUCCGGCAGCUUUUCUGCUUUGUAGCUUUUCUGUUUUCCUUUCCUCUGCACAGCUCUGAAAAUUAACAGUUUCAGUGGGAAUGCACUUAAAAUCUGAUUGUGACUCUGUGAAUUCAGAAUAUUACAAACAUCCUUUGAGUUGUUCCUAAGAAAAAGAAAUGUCUAAUCCAGGGGUCAGCAAACCUUUUCAGCAGGGGGCCGGUCCACUGUUGCUCAGACCUUGUGGGGGGCCGGACUAUAUUUGGGGGGGGGGUGAACAAUUUUUGACUGCCCGCAAAGAGGCCUGAAGAUGCUUCACUUUACCUGUCACAGUUGUCAUCCCAAUAGCUGCAGCUGGGCUUCUCCAGCCAACCAGGCACAGUGGUGGGGUAGCAGGCUGUGUUGGCCAGUGAAGACAGAAGCAGCAGCCCUGGCAGAGGAGCCACAGAUGAAGGUAGGGGAACCGGAGCAUCGCUGGAGCUUUUACCCACCACCUGCUUCUUCCAGAGAGGCACCGCGGAGAAGACAGAGCCUGCCACCAACCCGCAAGCGGCGGCCGCGGCCACCGCAACCACCCACCUGAACGCCAUGGGAGGAAUGAAGGAGGGAGGGAGGCAGGUGGCGGUGAAGAAAGUGCGCAAGGAAGCGGUGUGGAAAAGGAAGGAAGGAGAAGGAAGGACAGACGGACUGAGGGAGAGAGAGGAGGAGGAAAACGCAGCAGCAACUGGCAGCCAGCGUCACACGCUCCCUUCACAGCACCACCCUGCUGAGGCGGGCAGGCAGGCUAGCAUACUCGACGGCACCCAGUGUGGGACAAGAUUGCUCCGUCCCUGAGGAGAAAAGCGCCACCGUGUGAGGGAGAGGGAAUGAACACACGCGCUGGCGAUCCCCGGACCGUCCGUGGGCCAGAUCUAGAAGGCAGUUGGGCCUGAUCCGACCCGCGGACCUUAGUUUGCCGACCCAUGGUCUAAUUCAGGAAUGUCCAAAAUCCGUUUAGGGUUGGCCCUUUGGUUGGCCCUCACGGCCCUUCACUUCAUCAAAUCUGGCCCUCUUUGAAAAAAGUUUGGACACCACUGGUCUAAUCGGAACUUGAAGAAACAACAUUUUCUGUGUGUUUUUGGAUCCUUGCUGACAGAAAUUGGAUUGAUAACGGGGCUAGAGCCUGUAAUUCUUGUAUUACUGUAGUUUAUUUGUUUAAGGCUGCAAUCCUUACCACUUUUCUGGGAGCAGACUAAUUGAGACUAUUGGAACAUGCCAUAGGCUUGUACUGUAAAACAUUUGUAUCCCUACUGUCCCAUGCUCUCAUGGUGGGUUAACAUAAAACCAAACCAUUAGGCUUUAGAAGAAAACACACAGCAGUGGAACUCUGUAAUAAUGGAAUAAAGCAGUUAUUCAUCAACAGCCACAUCAGCACCCAACUCCAAAUGGCAACAGCUCUCUAGAUGGGGAACAGAAAUGCUUCUAGUCUUUCUACCCAAUAUCUUUUUAAUUUGAGAAGCCAAGGAUUGAAUCCCAUCGGAGGGCGCUGGGGAGGGAUGCAGCAAAAUUCGUGCAUGAAAAAUGGGAGGCGGGGAGAGACAUAUAAAUAGAAAGAAAGCUGCCUCCCCCUCUUUGGGGUGUGUGUGGAAUGCAUACAAAAUCAUGAAUGAAAAAGCUCAGGAAAAGCAAUGAAGCAAAACAGCAACUUUUUAUGUAGAAGGAGGAGGAGGAAGAAGAGGGAGGAAGGAAGGAAGGAAGGAAGGAAGGAAGGAAGGAAGGAAAAAAGUGAAUAAAAGAAGAGAGAGGGUUGGAAAAGGCGCUGGCUCCUCACCUUCCUCAUCCAGGGUCUCUCCAGCUCCAUUGGGUGAAAGGAAGCCAGCGUGCCGUGGGGAGGCAGUGAGUGAGGCCGGGCCAGGGGCAACCAGGCAGAGUAAAAGCCCGUCUCGGGGUGGGGAAGGGCCGGACAGAGGCCAGGCAAGGUGAGGGCUGGGGGGCAGCGGUAGGGCUCUGCCUUGCCUCUACUCUCAAGUCUUUUAUUUGGAUGCGAGAUCUGCAGCUACUAACUUCAGGGGCCACAGGCCGGUCUGCCCCUGUCACACCAUUGUUCUCCCGCUCUGUAUGAAUGAGUAGUAGUAUGGUGGAGAUUGUCUGUUUGUUUUUAAAAACCUUGUCACUUUUUCUGAGAGUAUUGUGCAGAGACUUACAGCUCAAAGCAGCCACGUUAAUAAGUAUAAAACAUUGUGAUAAUCAGUCCCAGAUGGGGCUCCUGUCUCUUUGAAUAAUUCCGUGAAAGGAGUAUUUCACCAUUUGUAGCUUUUCCUCUCUUUGCGUGGCAGCAGUAUGCUGCCCUUUCAAAAUCCUUUUCUCAAACACUGUUAAGGGUACAGGAUUCUUUUCCACAAUGGAUGUGUUUAGAACGAUAACAGCUAUUUUAAGAAAAUGGUUGCUUGUUCUAAGUACAAUUGUGUUUCAGGCUGGAAUGCAAUUCUUUUGGCGACUUGUAUUUCCAAGGAUGCCUUUGGAAAUUUGUAGCCUGGAGGUUUGUUUUGUCUCCAUUAAACACAAAUGCCAACUCUUGAGAUACAUACGUGGGAUGCAAGGUCUUUUCAACAUGUUUCUGCUAAACUGGAUCGCUGUACAUUCAGUUCUUCAAACCUUUUUGUGGACAUACAGUAACUGACAUGUACUCUGAACUAGGACUAACAGCAUUACUCACUGGAAGAAAGCAGCGUACAUCGAGUUACAAUGAAAGAACCACCAAUAAUCCAUGAAUCUUUUGCUAAUUGGAAUUUUUUUUUAAUUGUUUUUAAAGAUACACCAUUUUUUGCAGCAGUCCAUCAGGGUGAAAUGGAAACUUUCCAUUAAAAUUUCUACCAGCAGGUCUGGUUCUAUAUUUCUCUCUCUCUCUCUCUCUCUCUCUCUCUCUCUCUCCCCCCUGAUUUACAGCUAUUAGAUCAAAGGCAGUAAUCAUGAUAUUUGCAUGGGAAUUAGUCCCAUUGAAAUUAGACGUACUUCAAAAGAAACAUACUUGGUUACAUGUAGCAUGCAGAACACAGAUUUAUUAUAGUCAGGGUGGAAGGUGGAGGUAUUCAAAGGGCUGUUGUUGACUCCCAUCUAUCCUUAAAGAGCCAGCAGUUUUUAAGGGCAGAAAGGGUGACUAGGGGCUUGCCUGGAGAUUUAGAUUUGUACACUGCAGGGACUAGCUAGCUACAAGUUCAUUUCAAGUCAGUUAGUUACAAUAGAGCUUUGGAGCUAUCAAGUUCUCUUCGUCUUUCCCAUCAGAUCAUGGGUGGGCAACCUGUGGCUCUGCACCUAAAGACAUGUGGGUGGAUAGAGCCAGGUGGGGAAUGGUGGAGGGAGUCAGAACAGGUGGAACGAGGGAGUGAAAGCCUUCUGCAGGGAAUCGGUGCACCUCUGACGAGAGUGAACUUUCCCUGCCCUAGCAGCCUGUUGGGUGGUGGUGAAGAGGAAGACUGGGAAAGUGAGAGAAGGUGGCAGAGAGGGGAAAGCCACUUUGGGGUCUGGCCUGCCCACUGCCAGCAUCUGGUCUUGCACAGAUUCUCCCCCAAGGGAAUGUGGUCCUCAACCCUUUCUCCUGACAAGUUAGAGUUCAAAGCCAGGACUGAUAAAGUGGGAGGUCUGGAUGACCAGGGACAGCUUUCUUUGAAGGUGGAAUAGAAGGGAGACUUACGACCACUGAAUACCUUGAUCUGGGGUGGGAGAGGAUCCCUCUUCUGCUCCAUAGUGUAGCCUGCUGGCUAUUAUGAAAUGAAGUUGAAGACCCUGGAUCUCAAAAUUUCCUAAACAUAAGUUACUCACUCUUGUAUCUCAUAGUCUACAGUGUCAAUCAUCAUCAUCAUCAUCCCCCAAAUUGUGCUUUUCUUCACUAACUUGAAUUCAAGAAGAAAGAACUUUUCUGUCCACAAAAUUUUGGGUCAGUACUAAAGGAAAGCAUAGUUCACUAGCUUUUUAUAAUCGUUAGGCUAAGAAACAAUUAAUUGUGUGAUAUAUUCCAAGGUUUGAAUGUUUUAAGUUAAUCAAGAUCACUUUUGUUAACAGCACACUUUGACUAGGAAAAAAAUACCUAGUUACAAGUUUUCCAGAAAUUUUUUGUUUUUAGUUCAUGAAGAGAAACUGGGAAUCAUCAUUAAAUUGCUGCAAAAAUAGUAUCUCUCUUGGGAUAUUAUGCUGAGGCCAGAAAAAUAAUUUUAUCAACCAUAAAAGACUGAAUUGUGCGUUUUUGGGGAGAAACAUUCAUCACUUUAAUUUAUGUUGCUCAUCUUGGGUUUUCUUGUUUGUGUGCUUAGUUCAAUUCUUCUCCAGCGUUUGCUUAAAGGCCAAACUAGACAUGACAGUUGCAGGCGCUGUGGUCUAAACCACUGAGCCUCUUGGGCUUGCUGAUUAGAAGGUUGGCA
rnacentral:lncRNA from 1 species